rnacentral:rRNA from 1 species
UACGGAGGGUGCGAGCGCUAAUCGGAAUUACUGGGCGUAAAGCGCACGCAGGCGGUUUGUUAAGCUAGAUGUGAAAGCCCCGGGCUCAACCUGGGAUGGUCAUUUAGAACUGGCAGACUAGAGUCUUGGAGAGGGGAGUGGAAUUCCAGGUGUAGCGGUGAAAUGCGUAGAUAUCUGGAGGAACAUCAGUGGCGAAGGCGACUCCCUGGCCAAAGACUGACGCUCAUGUGCGAAAGUGUGGGUAGCGAACAGG